rnacentral:rRNA from 1 species
AUUGAACGCUGGCGGCAGGCCUAACACAUGCAAGUCGAACGAGUGGCGGACGGGUGAGUAAUGUAUGGGAACCUGCCUGAUGGAGGGGGAUAACUACUGGAAACGGUGGCUAAUACCGCAUACUAUCAGAUGUGCCCAUAUGGGAUUAGCUAGUUGGUGGGGUAAAGGCUCACCAAGGCGACGAUCCCUAGCUGGUCUGAGAGGAUGACCAGCCACACUGGAACUGAGACACGGCCCAGACUCCUACGGGAGGCAGCAGUGGGGAAUAUUGGACAAUGGGCGAAAGCCUGAUGCAGCCAUGCCGCGUGUAUGAAGAAGGCCUUCGGGUUGUAAAGUACUUUCAGCGGGGAGGCGUUACCCGCAGAAGAAGCACCGGCUAACUCCGUGCCAGCAGCCGCGGUAAUUC